rnacentral:rRNA from 1 species
UGGGGAAUCUUGCACAAUGGAGGAAACUCUGAUGCAGCGACGCCGCGUGAGCGAUGAAGCCCUUCGGGGUGUAAAGCUCUUUCGACGGGAACGAUAAUGACGGUACCCGAAGAAGAAGCUGCGGCUAACUACGUGCCAGCAGCCGCGGUAAUACGUAGGCAGCAAGCGUUGUUCGGAAUUACUGGGCGUAAAGAGUGUGUAGGCGGUGCUCCAAGUCUGGUGUGAAAUCUCCCGGCUUAACUGGGAGGGUGCAUUAGAAACUGGAAUGCUAGAGGAUGGGAGAGGUAAGCGGAAUUCCUGGUGUAGCGGUGAAAUGCGUAGAUAUCAGGAGGAACACCUGUGGUGUAGACAGCUUACUGGACCAUUUCUGACGCUGAGACACGAAAGCGUGGGUAGCAAACAG